CGAGUCGGUUGGAUGAUCGCGGCGACCUUAGGGUUGUCGAGGAAAGUCCGGACUCCACAGGGCAAGAGUGGUGGAUAACGUCCACCUGGGGCGACCCACGGGAAAGUGCAACAGAAAGUAAACCGCCUAUCUGCAUUUAUUUGCGGAUCGGUAAGGGUGAAACGGUGAGGUAAGAGCUCACCAGCGCACAUGGUGACAUGAGCGGCUAGGUAAACCCCACUCGGAGCAAGACCAAGUGGACUUUAGAGUCCACCGCAGGUGACGGCCCGUCGCCGCUUCGUGCGGCAGCCUGCGGGUAGGUUGCAUCAGGUUGUUGGUAACAGCAAUCGCAGAUGGAUGGUCAUCACGCGCAAGCGUACAGAAUCCGGCUUACAGACCGACUCGUCUA
rnacentral:RNase_P_RNA from 1 species